rnacentral:rRNA from 1 species
GACGGAGGGGGCUAGCGUUGUUCGGAAUGACUGGGCGUAAAGGGCGCGUAGGCUGUUUUUUAAGUGAGGCGUGAAAGCCCUGGGCUUAACCUAGGAGGUGCGUUUCAUACUGGAAAACUGGAGUGCGAGAGAGGAAAGCGGAAUUCCUAGUGUAGAGGUGAAAUUCGUAGAUAUUAGGAAGAACACCAGUGGCGAAGGCGGCUUUCUGGCUCGUAACUGACGCUGAGGCGCGAAAGCGUGGGGAGCAAACAGG